CGCGGCGUACUAAGCCCUCGCUCACAAUAACAAUAUUAAUAAAGAAUCAAUAGACGCAGACGUGAGAUUCCCACCGCAGGAGGAGGACACCUGCCAUAGCAAUCAGGCCUCAAUGAGAACAUUUUGUCCAGAGCGAGAGUCUCUCUCAUCGAUCAACAAGACUCGGGUUUCUCCGCCCAGGGCUCCGAGUUUUCACGAUUCGAAUCUUGUAUGACAGGAUGGCGUGCUUCAGUUGUCACCAGCGACAUCAAGCGUGUCCCAAGCAAGUUUUAAAACGUAUGCCAACGCAUCCCCGAGUGUGUUUAUAAGAUGAAGGACGAGAGAGAGUGGCGAAACAGAUUUAAGGCACAUCACACGAAGUGACCUUCCGGCCAGCCUAAGCUUACAAGAGAGAAACACACAUAAUACAGAGACAGAAGAUACAUUAUGUCUAGAGCUUUGCGCUCGCCCAAACGUUUUCAACCAUGCCCCUGAUAGACAUUCAACCACAUAGGCCUACUAGGGUUCUACAAACCUGCCCACAGGUGCCAGCAAGGCCCAAGCAUGCAAGAAGUUCAGACAUAAAUGGAAUGCUGUGAUUUGAUCUAGCCUAAGAAGACUUAUCACAUACAGCAAAAGACAAAGAUUGAUGCCUUGAUGCUAUCAAAUACUCAAUAUAUAUUCCUCAAUUACCCAUUCAUGGGAGCUACAGGACAGAAUAUGUCAUUAAAUGUAUUUUGAAUGGUUUGCUGAAUGGCCUGCCCACUUUGAGACCCCCUUGGUGAUGGCACACUGGAGUCAUCAUUAGGAAAUCUAUCAGCCAUGUUGUUCAAAAAAACUAUCUUAGCAUUCAAGGUACAUUGUUGACAAUAAUUUGUUCACUCUGUCACAGCAUAUACAACAUAUAAAGAGCUUUGGCUGCAUCUGUUCUCAUUCAUUGGUUAUGUUUUUAUUAAGCCUGUUAAAAAAAAAAGGGUUUUAAAUGAAUAAAGAUUUAAAAUUUAAGAAACUA